AAGGGACACAGCUCAGGACAGUAGAGGAAGGCACUCUCAGCAGGCGCUUUGGAAGUAGAAGCCUGAGCUGCCUUCAGCCUUCACUCUCUGCCAUGAAAUCCAACCUGCCGGUGACAGGAAGCUCCUUUCCUUUGCCUCCAGGUAUUUCUUAAAGUGUUAGGACAGGAGCAGUGUUCCCUGUUGCCUAGCAUGAUCCUGGCAUCAGUGACUGCUUCUCAGGACACAGGAGAGCGAAGAGCACCACUGCAGAAGUCUCUGGGCCCUGGAAGGCUGACAGAUACAGCCGGCAUCUAGCUGAAAGGCAACACAGUGAAUAGAGCUGGCUACAGUUCCAUAUAUUUAGAUGGAGUAAACUGCAUGCA